CCGCUCCUUCGAUGAGCUUCUGUCUCCCCGGAAAGGGAAGAAGAAAAAACGAAAGUCUGAACGGAGGAGGAAAAGAAGCAGGUCUCCUUCACACAGCCUGCCCCCUCUAAGGAAGAAGAAAAAGAAGAAGAAGAAGAGUUCCAAGAAAAGCAAAGGACACAGGUAGAUCUUUAAAAAAGGAAACGAACAUGAAAAACCUGCUCCAACAUUUAUUUUAUCUGAUCAAAUCUGUUGUUCUUUUUAAUAAAUAUUUCAGGUGUACCUCAAAGAAGUCAAAACACAGGUAAAGGAUUUAUUUUUAUUGGUAAAAAAAACUCUGUUCCUGCGUUUGUUGCUAUCAUGCCUGCAGCACCGACAUCUAGGAAUCAGAGCAGCAGCUUUGUUGGUAUCAAAGCCAGCAGCUCACGGUUCUGUCCUCUUUCAUCCUGCAGCUCUUCAAGUUUAAAGCAUAAGCAUAGGAGGGAUGAACGGAAGCACAAGAAAAGUUCUCGGAUUCGCAAACAUCGGAGACGACGCGAUCGGAGGUUGCGGUCGGAUACUUCCUGCUGCCAUUCCAAAACAGAGGACAGAUAUCCUCUGCAUAAGUCUGUGGUUCAUCAGGCUUUUAGAGACCUAGCAGCUGUUGAAGAGGAAGCCAGAGCAGCCCUGAGCCACACGGACACCAGACCACCAACCAAAUCUGUUUGUACCGCGGCUCCAAAAUAUCGCUCCGUCCUCUCGGCCAGCGCCAUUUUGCCCUCAAAUCCUGGAAAAGUGCUUUUCAACGGAAGCAGAGCUCAAAAUUUGCCAAACUGCAGAGAAGGUCCGCAUGAUUAUGAUUCUGGUAAUGACACAUCUUCACCUCCAUCAAGCAAAACCGGUGUUUCCCAAGGGAGCGCCGCUGAGUAUGCCAGGACCGGACGUGUGGCCUCGGCGUUCAGAGACAGCGCCUCGGAUUCAGGGAACUCUGUGACCAGCUUUGCAUCUUCCUGCAAACCUUUCGGGGAAACCAGCCUGUCUGCAACCCUCUGCAAUCAAAUCAGGAACAGGGAGCAGAUAACCUUGGGGUGUCACGUAGAGGUUGUCGGAUCGUCUGAGUCAACCAGCUGUGAAUCGAGGAGGAGGAGGGGUUCGUCUCGGACAAAAGGUCGCUCUUCCACCAGCAGGAGCAGAUCCUCAGGGAGUUCCAAAUACUUGGGACGCUAUUCCAGAAGCUCCUCGUUGUCUUCUCGCAGCUCGUACUCACGAUCCCCCAGUCACUCAGAUGUCAGGCGAAGAGGCAGCAUGAGCAGCCUGAGCUCCAGAGGAAGCUACUCCAGACACAGUGAUGACAGACUUUCAGACAGAAAGAGACGAGCAGACUCCAGAGAGACAGACGCAAAGCAAGGCCGCAAAGUCAGGAAGCGAGGAAGGCGCAAAUCCUACACUCCCAUGAGGAAGAGGAGGAGGGACUCGCCGAGUCAUCUAGAAGCUCGGCGCAUCACAAGUGCGAGGAAGAGGCCCAUUCCUUAUUUCCGGCCAAGCCCCCCCUCCAGCAUUCGUUCCACCAGCGUGUCGUCCUGGAGCAGCAUCUUCACCCGCAGUCGAAGCCCCAUCCACAGCAUCAGCCGCAGUCGCAGCCACAGCUUCUCCUCCUACAGGAGCUACAGUCGCAGCUCAUCCUGGAACUCCACCUGCGGGAGCCGCAGUCGCAGUCGCAGCCGCAGCCGCAGUUUGCUCAUCAAACGCAGGAAAACGAGGCAUUAG
ensembl:lncRNA